rnacentral:rRNA from 1 species
CCUACGGGAGGCAGCAGUGGGGAAUAUUGGGCAAUGGGCGCAAGCCUGACCCAGCAACGCCGCGUGAAGGAAGAAGGCUUUCGGGUUGUAAACUUCUUUUAAGAGGGACGAGCAGAAGACGGUACCCCUUGAAUAAACCACGGCUUACUACGUGCCAGGCGCCGCGGUAAGACGUAGGUGGCAAGCGUUGUCCGGAUUUACUGGGUGUAAAGGGCGUGCAGCCGGGAAGACAAGUCAGAUGUGAAAUCCCGCGGCUCAACCGCGGAACUGCAUUUGAAAAUGUGCGGCUAGAGAGUAGUUGAGGCAGGCGGAAUGUAGGGUGUAGCGGUGAAAUGCUUAGAGAUAAUAAAGAACACCGAUUGCGAAGGCAGCUUACCAAGCUACUUCUGACGUUGAGGCACGAAAGCGUGGGGAGCAAACAGGAUUAGAUACCCGAGUAGUC